GACGAACGCUGGCGGCGUGCUUAACACAUGCAAGUCGAACGGAAAGACCCUGCUUUUGUGUGUUUCUCGAUUGGCGAGCAGGUGAGUAACACGUGAGUAACCUGUCCUUGUCUUUGUGAUAACUUUACGGAACUGGGGCUAAUACCCCGUAUGAUCUCCUGCACCAUAUUGUUCAUUGGUAAAUUUCGGCGGUUGGGUAUGGACUCGCUGCUUACCCGCUUGUUUGUGGGGUAGUUACUUACCAAGGCUUUGACGGGUAGCCGGCCUGAGAGGGUUGCCGGCCACCUUGGGACUGAGAUACGGCGCAGAAGCGUACGGGAGGCAGCAGUGGGGAAUAUUGCACAAUGGGCGGAAGCCUGAUGUAGAGACGUAGCGUGCGGGAUAACGGCCUUCGGGGUGUAAACAGAUUUCGAAUGUGACGAAGCGUGAGUGACGGUAAUGGGUAAAGAAGCCCCGGCUAACUACGUG
rnacentral:rRNA from 1 species